AUUUACAAAGCUGGCAUAACAUGAAAAGUUUAACUGAAACAUGUCCUGCUCUGUUUAUCUUAGAAAGUGGAGUAAAUAUGGUGGAUUUGUGAUUAUUGGUUUAAUAUGCUCGUGAAACCCGUGCUAUCAGAGAAUGCGGUGUGCUUAAGCUGUGACAGAGUACCAUAUCCUCGGGAUUGUGACCGCAUUGUACAGUGUGGAGAUCAUGAGUCAUGCUAUACUGAACAAAUGGUUUCUUCUAGAACAGGAACCGUGUAUUACAACUCUGGCUGCCUUUCUAAACAGCAAUGUACACACGCAAAGAAGCGUAAUGUUGUUUCACUGGCACGCAAAACAGACGAUUUCAAACGGAAUCAACCAGCUACGUCCGAUUUUCUAACAUGCAUAGGAUGUUGUAAUUCGUCUAACUACUGCAACAGGAAUAUGUGUGUGCCAUCCUCACCAG